GGGGCGGCACCUCUUCGGUUCAAGAACUUAAGACAAGUGAGCUUCAACUUCUUAUGUUAAAAGAAGAUGUAGGUGAAACCCAGGAGCAGCUCAAGGAGCAGGGAGAUGGAGAUAGAGAAUUUAAACCUUGCUCACAAGACUCCUCAGAACCUCUCAAAGAAGAAAGUGAUGACCUAUCACGAAUAAAGAAAUAACUGCUUGAAGACAGCCUAAGGGAAGAUGAGGAUAAGACUCCUCGGAGACUGACAGAAUGCCUACCCUGCCGUUUAUUGUGACCUCCCCCAGCCCUCUGUUCUCAAGAAUAUCAGUCAGCAACCUGAUCCGCCCACCUUCUGAAGAGCAAGAAGAACAAGUUUCCAGCCUUCAGAGGAGGGACUUGACCUGCCUUUGUAUCUUGGGAGAGAGGGAUUAAAGAUGGAGAGCUGAACCAGAAGCCAUGUUUUUGUCUCUCUCCAUGUGUUUUCUCUUGCCACCCAUCCCUAUACCCAUCUCUCCUUCCAGGGAACCCACCGUUAGAAUGUAGCAGCUGGUCUCUACAGUUUUUUCUUUUAAACUCUGAUAAAAUUACUCUUAAGCUUC